GGAGAGAUGUCCGAGUGGUUUAAGGAGCACGCUUGGAAAGCGUGUGUAUGGGUCAAACUGUACCACGAGUUCGAAUCUCGUUCUCUCCGCCA
rnacentral:tRNA from 1 species